CUAGUCGCACGAGUUCAGACUCGUGGCGAAUAGCUCAGUAACACGUGGCCAAACUACCCUUCGGAACACAAUACCCUCGGGAAACUGAGGCUAAUAGUGUAUACCAUACCACCACUGGAAUGAGUGGUAUGCCAAACGCUCCGGCGCCGAAGGAUGUGGCUGCGGCCGAUUAGGUAGACGGUGGGGUAACGGCCCACCGUGCCAAUAAUCGGUACGGGUCAUGAGAGUGAGAACCCGGAGACGGAAUCUGAGACAAGAUUCCGGGCCCUACGGGGCGCAGCAGGCGCGAAACCUUUACACUGCACGACAGUGCGAUAGGGGGAUCCCAAGUGCACAGGCAUAGCGCCUGUGCUUUUCGGUACCGUAAGGUGGUACCAGAAUAAGGGCUGGGCAAGACCGGUGCCAGCCGCCGCGGUAAUACCGGCAGCCCAAGUGAUGGCCGAUCUUAUUGGGCCUAAAGCGUCCGUAGCUGGCCGCGCAAGUCCAUCGGGAAAUCCACCUGCUCAACAGGUGGGCGCCCGGUAGAAACUGCGUGGCUUGGGACCGGAAGGCGCGACGGGUACGUCCGGGGUAGGAGUGAAAUCCCGUAAUCCUGGACGGACCGCCGAUGGCGAAAGCACGUCGCGAGAACGGAUCCGACAGUGAGGGACGAAAGCCAGGGUCUCGAACCGGAUUAGAUACCCGGGUAGUCCUGGCCGUAAACAAUGCCUGCUAGGUGUGGCUCCCACUACGAGUGGGUGCUGUGCCGUAGGGAAGCCGCUAAGC
rnacentral:rRNA from 1 species